rnacentral:lncRNA from 1 species
UGUGCGUCAAUUUAUCGGAUUCUUUGAGAGAUUUUCUUGUACUCCACCUUUUCGACAUUAAUAAAUUAUUUGCUCCGUCUUCGCCCGUGGACGUAGGCCGUUGGCCGAACCACAUAAAUAUCGGUGUGUUCUUUCCUUAUCUUUUCUUUUCUUGCAUUAAAUUAUUUUCUGGAUCUAUUUUUCGCCGUUCCGAUUUUAACAGACGAAGUAUCGGUUAGAGAUGAGGUGGGAAGGCGAAGCAUCAGGGAGUGAGAAGAGUAGGGUGAAGGAGGCAUUGCCACGUGGCAAACUCUAUAGUUUUUUUUGGUUCGGGGUCAAAUAAGAAUUAGUUAAUCCAGGGAAAGGUAUAAGUUUAGGGUUAAGCCUGUAAUAGACCAAUUUUGCGUUUGGAUGAAAAUUGAGUUAUUUUCGGGAAUAAGAAAAAUAGCAUUUUGAUAGAUAAGAUUGAAUAAAAAGAAUAGUGGAUAGUUAUAAAUAGAAAAUAAUGAUAUUGCCCCUUAUAUUUGAAUUUAAAUUUUUAAAUUUAAAUUUAAAAUUUAAAAUUUAAAAUAAAAUUUAAAUUUUUAAUCUCAAAUUCAAAAAUUUAGAGUUCUAAAUUUUAAAUUUAAGAUUAAAUUUAAAUUUAAAAAUAUCAAAUAUCAAAUAUUAAAUUUUAAAAAAUUAAAAAUAAUAAUUUAAAAUUUUAAUUUAAAAUUAUAAAUAUUAAUUAUAAGAUUACAAAUUUUUGAGUUUAAAAAUUUAAAAUAUAAAUUUAAAUUUAAAAUUAAAUUAUAAAUUUAAAUUAAAAAGUUAAAUUGGGGCGGGAUUAGUUAAUCCCACCCCAAUUCCAUGGGGGGUGGAGUUUGU